rnacentral:lncRNA from 1 species
ACAGUGCAAACAACUUCACGCAUAUUGGUAAGAACAGGGAAACACCCAAUUUGAUGGACACAUUGCACACAAGCAGGGAAGAACAAGGCAAUUAAUUUAUUCAAGUAGCGUUCUAAAACAGAGAACUUACCUCGCACUCUAGAACACCCAACUCAAUGGAAGCCGAGCGACACCGCGAGCUCUCAACCCAACAGUCAAUCUCGGGCUUCACCGGAAAGACCUCC